AACAGUACUUAAGCUUUAACUUAAUUUAAUAAAGGAACAACACUUAACAGCAUUUAGCUCAGCUUACAACUUAAACUUACUUACAGGCCCAGCUUCCUUAGAUAUCUAAAUAACUUAAACAUCUGAGAGAGCAGCAUUUCCCCCAUGGUUUGCUAUGGGAAUUGCACACGUGUGCAGAGACACAAAGAGUCACUGCAGUGCCUGUGAUGCACCACCACAGUAAUACAUGUGUUUUACAAACCUUUGGAUUUCAUAGUGGUUUAGAGUCCUUGAAGUGCCUUUAGGAAGUUAUGUUAAUGGAAAAGAAAUUUUCUACGUUUCAGACAUAAAAAUAUUUCAUGUGCCAGUCAUCUCCAGGAUUUUUUUGGGUUUUCCUUUAGGAGGGCUACUGGCAUGUGUAAGUGCGUGUGUUUCCAAGGCUUGAGCCUCUCAGAACACAGAUAGGAAAGAACCUCAAAGCAGCUCUGUCUAAAGCAUGUUCCUCCCCUCCUAAGUGAGAGCUGGAUUCAAGAGCUCCUCGUACUUCUAGUCUCAGGAAGUGAAACCCACACUUGCCCCAGCUCCCUGACCCUAUCUGCCUCUUGCCACUGUGCAGGGCAUCCUGCUGCCUCCUUUCAAUGGCAAAGUCCUCAAUAUUCCCUUCUGCGAAACUCAGAGCCCUGCAAGCACAGUGCCACAGCAAGCAGCAGGCCAACCUGAAAAUGAUGUGGUGACCAACCUUGCAUUGGAUUUUAUGAUGUCAUUUGCUGUUGUUCUGUUUGUGUGAUUUUUUGCUUGAGAUAACACAUAUGCUGUUUACAACUCUUUGAUGGAAGCCAAGGUAUGUACCCUUUUUUAGUUAAAAAAAAAAUUGCAAGUAGAGCCUGGGACUGAUUUCAAUAUAAAUUACUCUUUUUUCUGCUUCUGAUUGUAUGUUCACAUAUUGUGUUUCCUCUAGCAUGUAUUUUUUUUAUCCCUUGAAGACUCAGCUUGUAGUGGGAAUUAUCUUGGUUCAGGUCUGAUUCUGUAGGAUUUCUGCAAGACGUGAUAUGUUGGUAGUGCAGCCAAUAACCCAUGAACACCACAAAUUAUAAUAAUCACAUUCUAGUCCAUGAAUUUUCUAUUUUUCAGGAAACUGGAGCUUCUGACAGUAAUUUGUAAUCAGCUUUGUGAACGGUUGUAAUUAGACAUUUGGAAAAUGCAGCAUUUUGCUUUCACUCAUCGCUCAAAGGAACAGGUGACUGUAGAGAAGAACCACCUUGUAAUGGUUCUGAAUUACAUUUAAGAGUUAUUUCCUGUUUAAUUCUUCUUAAUCUAAUGUUA
rnacentral:lncRNA from 1 species